UACGGAGGUUGCAAGCGUUGUUCGGAAUAACUGGGCGUAAAGGGAGCGCAGGCGGCUUGGUAAGUCUAACGUGAAAUCCCAGGGCUCAACUCUGGACGUGCUUUGGAUACUGCCUGGCUUGAGUACGUGAGAGGAGAUUGGAAUUCCAGGUGUAGCGGUGAAAUGCGUAGAUAUCUGGAGGAACACCGGUGGCGAAAGCGGAUCUCUGGCACGUUACUGACGCUGAGGCUCGAAAGCGUGGGGAGCAAACGGG
rnacentral:rRNA from 1 species